rnacentral:lncRNA from 1 species
GUAAUCAUAUAUACGGUCGUGUCGCGUAAUGUGUACGUAUACAUAUGUAGUUAAAAAAUUAUUAUGUAAUUUUGCUUUUUAGGUUAGCAGUACUGCAUUCUUAGCAAUUCACAUUAAGCUAAUUGAACUACAAGAUUCUUCAAACGAGUGUUUUAUGAUCAUAAUUAAAAUUAUCUUAUGUAUCAAACCAACUUCACUAAAGAC